GCUUCCCCUGCAGCUGUGAGGAUCUAAUUUUAGCAGGCUUUUAGAUGACUGAGUUCUACAGUUCAGCAUGCAAACAUUGAGGAUGGCUGCUGCUAUUGCUUAUAUUCUAGGAGAACAAGAAAGGUGCAGGAAGAAAUUUCUGGCUGCAGACUGUGUUCCUGCGGAGUUGGCACCUAGCCGCAGUGAACUGGAUCGGGAGGAAACACAUUAUGAUCCGACACCAAAAAGCUUAAGAAUCCACCCAUCUUCUGAAAGCUGGGGAGCUUCACUUUAGGAAAACUACCAAAGAUCUGGAAAAUACAUYGGUGAUUUCUUCUGACAUCUGAAAAAUACCUCAUCCAGCACUGACGUCUGGAGAAGUUAUUUUCAGGCCACAGGUUUGUGGCAACAGCAGUGAAAAAAAGCAAAAUCCCAAAAAACACCAUCUUAACUCCAGGUGUCGCAAUUUCAUAAAUUACACCUAUUUUAAGGACAACACCUGCUUUCUCUGUUUUGUCAGAAAUGCAAGAAACAAAAAGCACUGACCUCCCUCUCUCUAGUUGGGAUUUUGUACCCUGUGCCAUCUGCAGUCGUGAUCAGAAAAGACCAUAAUCAAAGACAGAUAUUUAAAAGAAACAACUACCUGUACUGCCGUGCAAUCCCUGUGGUUCUUUUGUAGCUUAAAUAUUACAAUUURUCUGCAAAGGUGUUUGAAAACGAAGGCUCUGACUCACAGAUCAACAUGUAAAAUUGACAUGUUUUUGGAGUUGGCUGGAAAAAAAAMCCCCAUGUAAACACAAACAUAAACCAGUGUUAAAGACAGCAAUGCAAAUCAAUAAGUUUCUUACAGUACUGAGCAGAUUUAAAAGUGAGUUUUCACACUUGGGUGUGUCUUAAUAAAUAACUUUUUUAUUAUGAACAAGCAUUUUUUUCAGCAUUUUCCUCCAAAAAAGAAAAGUGAAAC